rnacentral:sRNA from 1 species
ACUGCCAUGGACGGCGGUGGUUCUACGCAGCAGCGUGUUUGCGCAGCAAACACGUAGGUAAAAAAUGUACAGGACGUACAUUUUUUACCGUGC